UUUAGCUCUUGCUGGAUUUACCAUUUUGAUUUUACAAUUUGAAGAGACAGAGAAGCAUUCGUGCCUUUAGGUUAUUGCCGCGUUAGCUGAAAACAUUUAGAGUUUUAUAUCUACUCCGUAUUGCAUGUUCAUUUCUAUUGAACUAUUUUCUUUGGCAAAACCCCAUUAGUGACUACCCAUGUUCUUUGGCUCUAGGUAAGCGUAUCAGUUUUG
rnacentral:misc_RNA from 1 species